rnacentral:misc_RNA from 1 species
AAAAAAAAAAAAAAAGAAGAAAAGUUAGCAUUUUCUAUUUAUGCAUGGGACAUGUAACUGCUGCCUUUAACGGUUAACACAUUUCAUGCCUUUACAAUUUUUUAUUCCUUAUUAUAAUAUUUGAGUAAUUAUAUGGAUCUGGUUGACCCAUCAUAUGUGACCCGGGCCAUACUACUUUCACUUGGCCUUUUUGUUUUUUGGGUGGCGAUGGAAUGGCAGUGAUUCUUUCUACUCCAGGUCAAAACCAGGAUUUUCUGGCAUUUUCAGACGGCACAAAUUAGAUACUGGGUUUUCACCUUUUACUCCCUACUUAAUCUAACGUUCAAGCAGCAUGUAGUUGUGCAACUUAUGCUUCAUAAUUAUGGUCGAGGACAUACAUAUUUAAUGUAAUUGAUUGUUUAGAGAUGAACUUUUAAGAAUUAGAGAGAGGAUUUAAGAAUUGUCUGAUAUUGAGCUCUAGUUAAUUGGGGAAGUGCUGACAUGUGAGUCUAGAAUGAAAAUAUAGAUGGAAUAUGGUGGUUGUUAUUUCAUUGGAUUCCAAGUCAAAAAGGCAUUAGUGGAUAUGUGGAGAGCGCGAUUCUAAUGCUGGUUUCUCUGUUGUGGUAAUGUACAUUUUGGUUCAUAGGUGGUUGCCAUGUUGAGGGAGUUUUUUGAACUAGAUCAGUUAUCUUUGUGGGGGCUUAUGCAAUUCAUAGACUUCUGAUUGGUGGAUAUCUUUCAGGGGCAACUUGUGAUAAGAAAAAAUUUUCUUUAUGCCUAACCUUUGUAUUUGACUUCUUUCUACUGCUGUUUGACCUGAGAGCAUUAAUCAUGGACUUUGUUUUGGUUGAAAACCUGCACAAAUUGGCAGUCGACAUUGUCAAUCAGGUUCCUUCAUACUGAUGAUGAUUGAAGUAUUGUAUUUUAUUCAUCUGUAUUUUUGUUGUUAGUAUAUUUCUUGUUGACCUGGAGGAUAGGGCUACAAUUUCACAAAUCUUCACUGUUGCCAAAAGUAGCACAUUCUCUUGUUGCUUAUUAGCUGUUGUCAAGAUGCCCAAAUUUGUUAGUGUUGACACUGCGGUGAUGGUCUUCUUUGUUAAAUUUUUGAAAUUAAAGUUCUUGCAAAAUUGUAUUCACUAGCUAGUCUGCUUUAUCUGGUGUUGUUUGUCAUGCUGAUUCUCUUUGAUUGCAGAGUGAUGUGUUUUUAAUUUGCUCAAAUGCAAUGAAAUACAAUUCACCAGAGACCAUAUAUCAUAAGCAGGUGUACUGCUUUUGGUCUUAUUAUUUCUUCUUAACUCUGUAGUUUAUCUUCCACCUUACUGGCUAAUCUUAUUAUCUGAUUAUUUUGGAAAGGCACGAUCCAUUCAAGAGCUGGCAAGGAAGAAGUUCCAGAAGUUAAGGAUCGACUUAGAAUGCUCUGAGAAGGUGCUUAAGUCAGAACAGAAAGCAAAAGCCAACCUCUCGGCAAAAAAGCAAAUGAAGAAACCUUUGAACCGGACUGUGCAGGAACCUGUAGGCUCUGAUUUUUCCUCAGGUGCCACUCUUGCCACUACUGGUGAUCUCCAGAAUGGUUUAAUUCCUGCCCAAGCUAGUGGCUGUGACAGACCUAGUAAUAUUGAUGUGCCUAUAGAGGGUACCUCUUCCCUGGUUGAUAAUACUCUGGAGAAAGCAGAAGAACUAUCAUCAGGGAAGGGUAUCCUAUCCAAAUUUGGGAGGAAGUCAUCCAUGCUUGAUGAAAACCGCCGUGCUACUUAUAACAUAUCAAAUCAACCUGUGGCCAGAUCAGAAUCUAUUUUUACAACAUUUGAGGGUGAAAUCAAACAGCUGGUUGCUGUUGGGCUUCAUGCAGAUUAUUCCUACGCUAGGAGCUUGGCUUUUUUCUCUGCGAUGCUUGGACCUGUAGCAUGGGAAGUUGCCUCUCGGAGGAUUGAGCAAGCACUACCCCCAGGGUGUAAGUUCGGUCGUGGGUGGGUUGGAGAAUAUGAGCCACUGCCAACACCAGUAUUAAUGCUUGAAACACGUGCACAGAAACAAUCUACUUUGUUUACAAAGUUACAAGGUGCUGCUGAUGCAGUAAAGAGUGAUUCAACUUCAAGGCCCCCAAUUCCUUCUAAGGAAAAUCAUGCUAGAGCACCGACACCAGAAGGAAAACAAUGUUUGCUUCGUCCAACUUGUGGGCCUGUUUCAGAAGGAAGGCCAACCGUGUUUUCUGCUGCUGAAUCGAAACCUAGUGCCCCUUUCACUGUUAAUCCCGCUUAUCAGCAGCAAAACCUUCCACACAGGACUUUUUCUGAGGCUCAGAAUAAGGCUUCAAAACCAGUUGAACUCAACUUGCCCCCAUCAAACUAUCAAGGUGAUGCUGAUGUUGCAGAAAAGCAUCUUCCUGAUAAUUCAGAAAUGGCAAGUCCAAAGCCAAGGGAGAUGCCAAGGACAGUGGGUCUUGUGCAGUCAGUGCGUUCUAAGCCGCCAGAUAAUAAUGGAUUUGGUUCUGGUGGGCUAACUAAUGGAAAAGUUGUUAGUUCCUUGAAUAAUAGAUCUUCUGAUGCUGUUCCCAAUCAAAUGGCCAGAGCACCAACAUUCUUUGCACCAGGACAGGAACAUGCUUUUAAUGAUCCAGUUGAAGCGAUGAGAAUAUCAGCUGAAAGGGCUCAAAAACCGCAGAAACCUUCAAGUCAAUCCUCAGUUGAUAAUAUAUCACCUGUUAUACCAUCACUUCCACCUAUAAGAAACGAUUCUAGCAAUGCUGCUGCUGUUGCAGCCCGUGCAUGGAUGUCCAUAGGUUCUGGGGGUCUUAAAGUGCCGAUUGAAAAUUCCACCGCUCCCAAAUAUCAGAUCUCUGCGGAGUCAUUAUACAACCCAACUCGGCAAAUGCAUCCCCAACUUCCUCGAGUUCAGGGGCAGUUUCCUCUUCCUGCAGCGAUGCAAUUUCAGGCUGAGAAGAAUAAUGUUCCAUUUCAGGCAUUUAUGCAGCCACCUGUUCAUGUAGGAACUGGACAGUUUCAAAACAGACCUAUGGUCUUCCCUCAAUUUGUAGCAGCUGACUUGUCUAGGCUUCAGAUGCAAUCCCCAUGGCGAGGGUUAAGUCCACAUUCUCAUCCGAAGCAAAAACAAGAGACACUUCCUCCUGACUUGAAUAUUGGUUUCCAGUCUCCAGGAUCUCCAGUGAAACAGUCUUCAGGUGUCAUGGUUGACUCGCAGCAGCCGGACUUGGCAUUGCAACUCUGAGCAUGGAUGGGCUUUUUAGAGGAUUUGGUGAAUCCCAAAGAUUGCUUAUGCUGAGGUGAUAUUGGUUACGUACUCGAGAACUUAAAAUUUUUCUACCUGUCACACAGCUGUAUAAAAUGUCAGAACGCUGCUAGUUUCUUGAUGUGAUAGAGAGGUCUGGCCUACCUAAUAUGGUGUGAGGAUUUUAACACGGGUCUUGAAUUCGGAAGAUGGAAAUCCUGGAUUUAGUGAUUGGCUGGGUUCUGUCUGUCUGUACAAAGAAGGGAUUUUUGCAGUUGCAAUAAGGUGAAAUGACAACUGGAGAUUCGUGGGAAGAUAAAUUUUUAAUAGAGCUGUAGAUGUUUGGUCUUCUUCCAUUGAAGAUUACUUACUGGCCUAAAACAGUGAUUAGUUUAUAUAGCAUGGAAAGAGUUAGUACAAGGAUUCUUGAUCCCUAGGAAUAUCAGCUAUGGAUCAUAAAUCAAAUGAAUCAUACGUUAAGUUUCAGUUGCAGCUAUUCCCUUGUACAUUAGAUUCUGGCGGAUGAGAAUUGAGAAGUAGUUGCUUAGAUUCUAGUCAUCCUUGAUUCCUUCAAUAUGAAUGCAUUCAUAAUUUCCCUUCUUUUUAGAGCACCUAGUUCUCUCUCAUCUCAGAAGGAAUAAUGUUUUGUUGGUUUCUCUCUAUCUUCCUUUAUUAUUUCUGUCGUUGUGAUCGAUAAUGAAUAUUUCGAGCUUCCAUAGUGAAAAAUAUUUAAAAGAAAAGAUAUCUAUGAA